rnacentral:lncRNA from 1 species
CAGCCAAAUUUUAAUUUUCUUUACCUCCAACCUCUCUAAUUCUACUACUAAUUAAGUAUUCUCCAUUUACAAGAUGAAGAUAUUUGAGAAAAACAUGAUUCACUUUUGGAGAAAGAUAUGAUAUUUUUGGAUUUGUUAAACUGUGAUGCAUUUUUGUUUGAAUAAAUCUCAUUAUGGAAGAUUUAUGAAUCACAUUUCUUUAAAAAAAAAAAAUCUUACGUGCAAUGUCAUAGUUGUUAAGCUAAAAGAUGAAAAGGCAAGGGAGUGGAAAAGAUUGACGAAUUUAAAAGAAACAAUAAAGAGUGAAUGGUAUGGAAGAUGAAGAAUAGAAGUUGUGAGCUAGCAAAAUUGAGGGUUAGAGAGAGAGAGCAAUAGAGAGGCAACUAAUAGAAAAUACUUAUUAUAGUACUUUCAUCAAUAAUUCUCCUACACUAUCUUUGAAUUAUAUGUAUCAUAGAGAAAUUUGAAUCUAUAUUUCAUGAAAAGAGAAAAACUUGACAAUGCUCAUCAAACCUUAACAUACAUUUAAAGGAUUAUACUCAACCUUAGUAGGGAAAGAAAAGGUUAAACAUCCAUUCCAAUUGCAAAUGAGUUGUUCACACCUAAGUCUACUUGGCAUCAAAUUCACUAGCAUGAGAUGAGCUACUCUUUGGAAGGUAGG